rnacentral:rRNA from 1 species
UUGAAAGGGAAACGAUUGAAGUCAGUCGUACCGGCGAGAAAUCAGCUUAUCGUGUGUUAACUUGUGGGCGUGCGUGAGUUUCGGCCUCGCUGUUUGCAUGUUUGUGCACUUUGGGUGUACUUUUUCGUAUGGUUGGCCAACAUCAGUUUCGAUUACUAUAAAAUGACUGGCGGAAUGUAGCUUCGAUUUCGGUUGAAGUGUUAUAGCCUCUGGUAGAUGUGGUGAUUGAGACUGAGGAUUGCAACGAAUAUCCUUUGGGCUAUCCGUCUGGCCUCUGAAAGUUGCUUGGGUGCUGAAAGCUUGCUUAUGGUUAUCUAAGUUAACGGUCAAUAGGUUAGAACGCGAUUACAUUCGUUAAGGAUGUUGACGUA